UUACGGCCAUAUCACGUUGAAACACCACUUCCCGUCCGAUCAACGAAGUUAAGCAAUGGUCAGGACGUAGAUGGGUGACCAUUUGGGAAUAUCAGUUGCUGUAA